ACGGAGGGUCCAAGCGUUAUCCGGAAUCAUUGGGUUUAAAGGGUCCGCAGGCGGGCUGAUAAGUCAGUGGUGAAAUCUCUCAGCUUAACUGGGAAACUGCCAUUGAUACUGUUAGUCUUGAAUUCGGUCGAAGUAGGCGGAAUGUGUCAUGUAGCGGUGAAAUGCAUAGAUAUGACACAGAACACCGAUAGCGAAGGCAGCUUACUAGGCCUGAAUUGACGCUCAUGGACGAAAGCGUGGGGAGCAAACAGG
rnacentral:rRNA from 1 species